UACGGAGGGAGCUAGCGUUGUUCGGAAUUACUGGGCGUAAAGCGCGCGUAGGCGGCUUUGUAAGUUAGAGGUGAAAGCCCGGGGCUCAACCCCGGAAUUGCCUUUAAAACUGCAUCGCUUGAAUCCGGGAGAGGUGAGUGGAAUUCCGAGUGUAGAGGUGAAAUUCGUAGAUAUUCGGAAGAACACCAGUGGCGAAGGCGGCUCACUGGACCGGUAUUGACGCUGAGGUGCGAAAGCGUGGGGAGCAAACAGG
rnacentral:rRNA from 1 species